UACAGAGGUCUCAAGCGUUGUUCGGAUUCAUUGGGCGUAAAGGGUGCGUAGGCGGCGCGGUAAGUCGGGUGUGAAAUCCCGGGGCUCAACCCCGGGACUGCAUUCGAUACUGUCAGGCUAGAGGUAGGUAGGGGAGAUCGGAAUUCCUGGUGUAGCGGUGAAAUGCGCAGAUAUCGGGAGGAACACCAAUGGCGAAGGCAGCUCGCUGGGACGGUACUGACGCUGAGACGCGAAAGCGUGGGGAGCGAACAGG
rnacentral:rRNA from 1 species